ACGAGCAGGAUCGGACCACUAUAUCUUAUGGCUCUCAUAGGAAUAUUCGAACAUUAUACGUUUUUUGAUAUGAAGUAGACAUUUUGAUUUCUGACAUUUUAAAACCCAAAUCUAAAAAAAUGCCCAAUAUACAUCACACGUAAACGGGACACAUCGAGAUAAAGGGUUUGAAGCUCACAAAGAAGGCGUUCCAGCUAUGGCAGGUAGCGCAAUAAUUGGAGGCGUGCUCUUGGCUCUAAUCGAAGGUGUUGGAAUAUUAUUUACUAGAAUAUCAGCCGACCAGUUUAGAAAUCCGAUUCCACCGGCAGAAGACCCGUCGGCUCUUGGAGAUCCUGGAAGUAAUUUUUCAUUUGGUUCAACAUCUAAUCAAAAGCAAUAUCAAUAAAAUGCUUAAUAUUUUAAAACGA